rnacentral:rRNA from 1 species
AUUGAACGCUGGCGGCAGGCCUAACACAUGCAAGUCGAGCGGAGCGGCGGACGGGUGAGUAAUGCCUGGGAAUCUGCCUGGUAGUGGGGGAUAACGUCCGGGAACGGGCGCUAAUGCCGCAUACUAGCAAAUGCGCCUAGGUCGGAGUAGCUAGUUGGUGGGGUAAAGGCCCACCAAGGCGACGAUCCGUAACUGGUCUGAGAGGAUGAUCAGCCACACUGGAACUGAGACACGGUCCAGACUCCUACGGGAGGCAGCAGUGGGGAAUAUUCGACAAGGGGCGAAAGCCUGAUCCAGCCAUGCCGCGUGUGUGAAGAAGGUCUUCGGAUUGUAAAGCACUUUAAGUUGGGAAGCGUUACCAAAAGAAUAAGCACCGGCUAACUUCGUGCCAGCCGCCGCGGUAAUAC